rnacentral:lncRNA from 1 species
GCCAAAAAACGGGUGGGCUAUAGCCUUGGUGGGGGGCGCGGGCGAAGUUCGUCCGCCGGACUCGGAAUGCGGCGAGACUUUACGAGGGGCCUCGGGGUGCCAAAAAUAAGCCGCGGGCAAAGCCGCGCCCAAAAAUAAGUGCCCAAAGGUCGUGGUGCCAAAACCCCCCAGCGGAAAAAUGGCCAAAAAACGGGUGGGCUAUAGACUUGGUGGUGGGCGCGGGCGAAGUUCGUCCGCCGGACUCGGAAUGCGGCGAGACUUUGUGAGGGGCCUCGGGGUGCCAAAAAAAAGCCGCGGACAAAGCCGCGCCCAAAAAUAAGUGCCCGAAGGUCGUGGUGCCAAAACCCCCCAGCGGAAAAAUGGCCAAAAAACGGGUGGGCUAUAGCCUUGGUGGGGGGCGCGGGCGAAGUUCGUCCGCCGGACUCGGAAUGCGGCGAGACUUUGCGAGGGGCCUCGGGGUGCCAAAAAUAAGCCGCGGGCAAAGCCGCGCCCAAAAAUAAGCGCCCGAAGGUCGUGGUGCCAAAACCCCCCAGCGGAAAAAUGGCCAAAAAACGGGUGGGCUAUAGCCUUGGUGGGGGGCGCGGGCGAGACUUUACGAGGGGCCUCGGGGUGCCAAAAAUAAGCCGCGGGCAAAGCCGCGCCCAAAACUAAGCGCCCGAAGGUCCUGUUGCCAAAACCCCCCAGCGGAAAAAUGGACAAAAAACGGGUGGGCUAUUGCCUUGGUGGGGGGCGUGGGCGAAGUUCGUCAGCCGGACUCGGAAUGGGGCGAGACUUUGCGAGGGGCUUCGGGGUGCCAAAAAGAAGCCGCGGGCAAAGCCGCACCCAAAAAUAAGCACCCGAAGGUCGUGGUGCCAAAACCCCCCAGCGGAAAAAUGGCCAAAAAACGGGUGGGCUAUUGCCUUGGUGGGGGUUGCGGGCGAAGUUUAUCAGCCGGACUCGGAAUGGGGCGAGACUUUGCGAGGGGCAUCAGGGUGCCAAAAAUAAGCCGCGGACAAAGCCGCGCCCAAAAAUAAGCGCCCGAAGGUCGUGUUGCCAAAACCCCCCAGCGGAAAAAUGGCCAAAAAACGGGUGGGCUAUUGCCUUGGUGGGGGGCGUGGGCGAAGUUCGUCAGCCGGACUCGGAAUGGGGCGAGACUUUGCGAGGGGCUUCGGGGUGCCAAAAAGAAGCCGCGGGCAAAGCCGCACCCAAAAAUAAGCGCCCGAAGGUCGUGGUGCCAAAACCCCCCAGCGGAAAAAUGGCCAAAAAACGGGUGGGCUAUAGCCUUGGUGGGGGGCGCGGGCGAAGUUCGUCCGCCGGACUCGGAAUGCGGCGAGACGUUGCGAGGGGCCUCGGGGUGCCAAAAAUAAGCCGCGGGCAAAGCCGCGCCCGAUGGUCGUGGUGCCAAAACCCCCCAGCGGAAAAAUGGCCAAAAAACGGGUGGGCUAUAGCCUUGGUGGGGGGCGCGGGCGAAGUUCGUCCGCCAGACUCGGAAUGCGGCGAGCCUUUACGAGGGGCCUCUGGAUGCCAAAAAUAAGCGGCGGGCAAAGCCGCGCCCAAAAAUAAGCGCCCGAAGGUCGUGGUGCCAACCCCCCAGCGGAAAAAUGGCCAAAAAACGGGUGGGCUAUAGCCUUGGUGGGGGGCGCGGGCGAAGUUCGUCCACCGGACUCGGAAUGCGGCGAGACUUUACGAGGGGCCUCGGGGUGCCAAAAAUAAGCCGCGGGCAAAGCCGCGCCCAAAAAUAAGUGCCCAAAGGUCGUGGUGCCAAAACCCCCCAGCGGAAAAAUGGCCAAAAAACGGGUGGGCUAUAGACUUGGUGGUGGGCGCGGGCGAAGUUCGUCCGCCGGACUCGGAAUGCGGCGAGACUUUGUGAGGGGCCUCGGGGUGCCAAAAAAAAGCCGCGGACAAAGCCGCGCCCAAAAAUAAGUGCCCGAAGGUCGUGGUGCCAAAACCCCCCAGCGGAAAAAUGGCCAAAAAACGGGUGGGCUAUAGCCUUGGUGGGGGGCACGGCCGAUGUUCGUCCGCCGGACUGGGAAUGCGGCGAGACUUUGCGAGGGGCCUCGGGGUGCCAAAAAUAAGCCGCGGGCAAAGCCGCGCCCAAAAAUUAGCGCCCGAAGGUCGUGGUGCCAAAACCCCCCAGCGGAAAAAUGGCCAAAAAACGGGUGGGCUAUAGCCUUGGUGGGGGGCGCGGGCGAGACUUUACGAGGGGCCUCGGGGUGCCAAAAAUAAGCCGCGGGCAAAGCCGCGCCCAAAAAUAAGCGCCCGAAGGUCGUGUUGCCAAAACCCCCCAGCGGAAAAAUGGCCAAAAAACGGGUGGGCUAUUGCCUUGGUGGGGGGCGUGGGCGAAGUUCGUCAGCCGGACUCGGAAUGGGGCGAGACUUUGCGAGGGGCCUCGGGGUGCCAAAAAGAAGCCGCGGGCAAAGCCGCGCCCAAAAAUAAGUGCCCGAAGGUCGUGGUGCCAAAACCCCCCAGCGGAAAAAUGGCCAAAAAACGGGUGGGCUAUAGCCUUGGUGGGGGGCGCGGGCGAAGUUCGUCC